UUUAAAGGCCUGCAAAAUCCCAAGGAGGCUGGCGGCGGAAAUAGAUGCUACAGUGGAGGAGGCUCUGGAGAGGCAGGAUAUAUUUGAGUGAAGGACAUUAGAAACAAUGUAAGGAAAAGUGAUUUGUAAGGAGUACUCUGGAGAGGAGGGUACAGUGUCUGUAGGCACCAUUUUGCUUGGAACCAGUUGCAGUUGUUGGCGAAUGGCGGCCGUUAAAGGGUGAUUCAGAGCAAGUGCCUCCAUUAUGAAUGAGCUGAGUGGAGCCACAGCUG